rfam:Triticum aestivum genome assembly, contig: Triticum_aestivum_CS42_TGACv1_scaffold_392634_5AS
AUUCUACUCCCUCUGUUGCACAAUACAUGCCUUCUAUUUGUCAAAAUAUAUAUGUAUCUAGACAUGUUUUAGUAUAUAGGUACAUCCAUUUUUGGACAAAUGGAAGUCAAGUAUUUUGGAACGGAGGGAGUACAUA